AUCUUUUAUCUUCUCUGUUUUGUGUGCAUCUGUGCUGCUGUUUGAGUCACCUCACUGGCAUUGAGCAGGGUCUGUGGCGAAUCACCCAGUACAGAAUCAGCAUUGCCAUGGACACAGUGCAUGCGUGAUGAUUACUACUGAGAGCGUGCCAAUAAGAAACACCUUAAGCUCAUCAGUGGGACUGGAUAAAAGGAGCUAAAACAGAAAGUAGGGGGACAUCAUGGCUGAGCUGGACAUCCUCUGGGACUGGUAUGGUCUUUCCAAAAUCGAUCAUCCAUAUGUUGGCUUUGUUGUUGCGGUCGUGGACGAAAAGUAAGGAGCUGCCUAUGAUCUGCGAGAAGUUGAGAAGAUGUUUGGAUGAAGACAACUGUUAAGUCAUAUGCCAAACAGGCAUAAAACAUCUUUGGCUGCAGAUUUUAUUUAUUAAAUAAAAAUCGCCCAUUCUUAUAACCAAUUGCAC
rnacentral:lncRNA from 1 species